rnacentral:rRNA from 1 species
AUUGAACGCUGGCGGCAGGCCUAACACAUGCAAGUCGAGCGGAUGAAGGGAGCUUGCUCCUGGCUUCAGCGGCGGACGGGUGAGUAAUGCCUAGGAAUCUGCCUGGUCGUGGGGGAUAACGUCCGGAAACGGGCGCUAAUACCGCAUACGUCCUGAGGGAGAACGUGGGGGAUCUUCGGACCUCACGCUAUCAGAUGAGCCUAGGUCGGAUUAGCUAGUUGGUGGGGUAAAGGCCUACCAAGGCGACGAUCCGUAACUGGUCUGAGAGGGUGAUCAGUCACACUGGAACUGAGACACGGUCCAGACUCCUACGGGAGGCAGCAGUAGGGAAUAUUGGACAAUGGGCGAAAGCCUGAUGCAGCCAUGCCGCGUGUGUGAAGAAGGUCUUCGGAUCGUAAAGCACUUUUAGUUGGGAGGAACAGCAGUAAGUUAAUACCUGGCUGUUUUGACGGUACCAACAGAAUAAGCACCGGCUAACUUCGUG